rnacentral:rRNA from 1 species
UGGGGUAAAGGGAUGCAGGUGGUUCUUAAAUCAAAUUUAAAGCCCGGGGCUCAACCUCGAACUGCAUUUAAAUUUUAACUUCAAUCUUUACGGGGGGUAGGAAUUCCCGUUUAAGGGUGAAAUUCCUUGGGAUUUGAGGGGUGUUUACAUGGCUCAGAUUGAACGCUGGCGGCAGGCCUAACACAUGCAAGUCGAGCGGAAACGACACUAACAAUCCUUCGGGUGCGUUAAUGGGCGUCGAGCGGCGGACGGGUGAGUAAUGCCUAGGAAAUUGCCUUGAUGUGGGGGAUAACCAUUGGAAACGAUGGCUAAUACCGCAUAAUGCCUACGGGCCAAAGAGGGGGACCUUCGGGCCUCUCGCGUCAAGAUAUGCCUAGGUGGGAUUAGCUAGUUGGUGAGGUAAUGGCUCACCAAGGCGACGAUCCCUAGCUGGUCUGAGAGGAUGAUCAGCCACACUGGAACUGAGACACGGUCCAGACUCCUACGGGAGGCAGCAGUGGGGAAUAUUGCACAAUGGGCGAAAGCCUGAUGCAGCCAUGCCGCGUGUAUGAAGAAGGCCUUCGGGUUGUAAAGUACUUUCAGUUGUGAGGAAGGGGGUAGUGUUAAUAGCGCUAUCUCUUGACGUUAGCAACAGAAGAAGCACCGGCUAACUCCGUGCCAGCAGCCGCGGUAAUACGGAGGGUGCGAGCGUUAAUCGGAAUUACUGGGCGUAAAGCGCAUGCAGGUGGUUCAUUAAGUCAGAUGUGAAAGCCCGGGGCUCAACCUCGGAACUGCAUUUGAAACUGGUGAACUAGAGUACUGUAGAGGGGGGUAGAAUUUCAGGUGUAGCGGUGAAAUGCGUAGAGAUCUGAAGGAAUACCAGUGGCGAAGGCGGCCCCCUGGACAGAUACUGACACUCAGAUGCGAAAGCGUGGGGAGCAAACAGGAUUAGAUACCCUGGUAGUCCACGCCGUAAACGAUGUCUACUUGGAGGUUGUGGCCUUGAGCCGUGGCUUUCGGAGCUAACGCGUUAAGUAGACCGCCUGGGGAGUACGGUCGCAAGAUUAAAACUCAAAUGAAUUGACGGGGGCCCGCACAAGCGGUGGAGCAUGUGGUUUAAUUCGAUGCAACGCGAAGAACCUUACCUACUCUUGACAUCCAGAGAAGCCAGCGGAGACGCAGGUGUGCCUUCGGGAGCUCUGAGACAGGUGCUGCAUGGCUGUCGUCAGCUCGUGUUGUGAAAUGUUGGGUUAAGUCCCGCAACGAGCGCAACCCUUAUCCUUGUUUGCCAGCGAGUAAUGUCGGGAACUCCAGGGAGACUGCCGGUGAUAAACCGGAGGAAGGUGGGGACGACGUCAAGUCAUCAUGGCCCUUACGAGUAGGGCUACACACGUGCUACAAUGGCGCAUACAGAGGGCAGCAAGCUAGCGAUAGUGAGCGAAUCCCAAAAAGUGCGUCGUAGUCCGGAUUGGAGUCUGCAACUCGACUCCAUGAAGUCGGAAUCGCUAGUAAUCGUAGAUCAGAAUGCUACGGUGAAUACGUUCCCGGGCCUUGUACACACCGCCCGUCACACCAUGGGAGUGGGCUGCAAAGAAGUGGGUAGUUUACCCUUUCGGGGAGGACGCUCACCACUUUGUGGUUCAUGACUGGUGAGUCGUACAGUAAACCCGUA